rfam:Brassica napus, WGS project CCCW01000000 data, contig: 39738
CUUGUUCAGCUCCUUUGAGCUUGCCUUUGCCUUAUUUUUUGUUAAGUUCCAGCUACCUGAUUCCCUUAACCAUGUGACCUGACAGGUGCGUCUCCUCGCACUAAGGUCUGUCCGGACGAUCCUAUCCAGGAUCGGGGAUGCUAGAGUGAGAGCCCCGUCGUGCCCGGACCCUGUCGCACCACGAGGUGCUGUCUACGAGUCUGGUUGUUUGGGAAUGCAGCCCCAAUCAGGCGGUAAAUUCCGUCCAAGGCUAAAUAUGGGCGAGAGACCGAUAGCGAACAAGUACCAUUAUCGGGAGGGAAGCGGAUGGGGGCUGGCGAUUCGUCCCGGUCGGAUGCAGAACGGAGCAAUCCGGUCGGCCGUUCGAUUCAGGUGGUGACCUAAGCCCGGGCUUUUGUUACACCCGCGGAGACGUUGCUGCCUUAAUCAUGGUCUGCAGCAUGCGCCUCAUGGCGUGCCUUGGCAUCUGCGUGCUCAGGGCUUCGGCCUGUGGGCUCCUCAUUCGACCCGUCUUGAAACACGGACCAAGGAGUCUGACAUGUGUGCAACUCAAUGG